rnacentral:rRNA from 1 species
UACGAAGGGGGCUAGCGUUGUUCGGAAUUACUGGGCGUAAAGCGCACGUAGGCGGAUAUUUAAGUCAGGGGUGAAAUCCCGGGGCUCAACCCCGGAACUGCCUUUGAUACUGGGUAUCUAGAGUCCAGAAGAGGUGAGUGGAAUUCCGAGUGUAGAGGUGAAAUUCGUAGAUAUUCGGAAGAACACCAGUGGCGAAGGCGACUCGCUGGACAGGUAUUGACGCUGAGGUGCGAAAGCGUGGGGAGCAAACAGG